CAUUGGUUCACUUGGAUGUUGAACAUAGGAUAGCGGUUUUGAACUUUGGCUUCACACUGUAAUUACCUGGGGAGCUUUAAAAACUGUUGAUGCUUAUGACUGUCUCCUAGAGAUUCUGAUGGAAUGGUGUGGGGAUUGGCUGGGUCAAUGGUAUUCUUUUUUUCAAGGCCUCUCAGGUGAUGCCAGUAUUUAGCAGAGGGUGAUACCACUGAUAUUUGUCAAUAGGAGAGACAGAAGAGAGAGGCCAAAGGAUACCCAGAGAACAUCUCUCAAGUCUCACUCUUCCAAAGGAUUCUCUGUAUGAGCCAACAGAGGCAUUUAUCCCAUUUAGAUUCUUUAUGAGCACAGGUGGUUGAAUGAAUUUCCUAGGAGAUCAGAAGCAACAAUAGGCCACAGAAGAAUCUCAACCUGGAGUAUUUCUUUUCAGUGGCCUUUUCUUCUAGAAGUGCUCACCUAGGGCUGCUGUCCCAUGCUGUCCCAUGCUGGCUCCUGCUGGCCCCUCUGUCCCCAUGGCCCAUCAGCAUUUGUGCAGUGUUUCUCAGGUACCAUGGAUGCAGGAGAAGAAACUCCAUGCCCUGCUGAGGGUGAGCAGGGAGGAGUGGGAUGCUGUGUGAAGUGUGAGAUCCUGAAGAAGCUCAGGAUAACCGCUGGGCCUGCACACACUGUGCUGCCCUCCCCGGUGGACAUUCCCUGGUCAUAUUUGUGGUUUUCCCCUCCCUCAUCUUUCCCUCCAAUCCUCUUUCUUUCACUGAAUGCUUUCCUGUUCUGAGUGCCACCAGUGGGACUGGCUGUGACAGCCACAGUCAAUGGCCUGCUCAGCACCCAUGUCCCUCCACCUCUUUGCUGCCUGCAGAACCUAGAAUUUUAUCAGGCCUCUGGCCCAGCAGCAGGUGGUGAAACUUGAUUAGCCCAAACAGUGGUUUCCCAUAUUGGCUACCUAUUAAAAACACCCGAGGUGUUGUUGAAGCAACGCUGAUACUUGGGCCCCACCUCCUCGAAACUCUGAUUUAAUUGGUAAGUAGAAAACCUCCCAGGUGAUUAAAAUAUGCAUCCAGGAUUGAUGAUCACUAGGACAGUCACGGUAUUUUAGUUCCCCUCACGAAUGCUUGAUUCAAGAUUGGGCAAUGAGGCCAUUUGGGUUGUUGAAACACGUGGAUACAGGGUGGGGAUGGGGAGAUUUGGAAAGAGGUUUCCUUGGCGUUCAGAGAGGAUGGUUCUUCUUUUUCCCGCAUGGUCUCAGGAGUUAUUCGGGGGAAGGAUGAGAUGCUUGGAGCCACUGCUGCUGUCUUUUACCUGGAGACAUGGAACCAAAGUGGGAGCAAUGCGUGGAUGAUAAAUUGGUUUUUGCUCUUCCUUUGAACUUCAAGAGCCAUCCCCCUGGGUCCCUCCCAUCUGAUGGAUUGAUGGACAAGCUCAAUGGGCUUAGAGAGGAUUCCAUAUCCAAGCAUCUGAGCUGCAUUAAGGGGAUUCUUCGAAACUAAUUGAAUGUGAAUGUCAGCUAGCACUGAUGGAAGAGGGGAAGAAAAGAACCAGCUUUAGCAAGGGAGCUUUCAAAGGCUGAGAGAGAAACCAAGUGGUAAGAAAAGGCUCCCGAACCUCCAUUCGACAUCUUUGGAGCCCCAGCAAAAGUCAAUUUUUCACUGGGUUUUAAUUAUUUUAAGUAUUUAUUGCCUUUCUGCAAUCAAGAAAUUGGAAGCUAGAAAGCAAUAAAAUUUUAAUUGACAUAAUUUUA